CAGCCGCCGCGGUAAUACGUAGGUGGCAAGCGUUGUCCGGAAUUACUGGGCGUAAAGGGCUCGUAGGUGGUUUGUCGCGUCGUCUGUGAAAUUCCGGGGCUUAACUCCGGGCGUGCAGGCGAUACGGGCAUAACUUGAGUACUGUAGGGGUAACUGGAAUUCCUGGUGUAGCGGUGAAAUGCGCAGAUAUCAGGAGGAACACCGAUGGCGAAGGCAGGUUACUGGGCAGUUACUGACGCUGAGGAGCGAAAGCGUGGGGAGCGAACAGGAUUAGAUACCCCGGUAGUCCCUGUCUCUUAUC
rnacentral:rRNA from 1 species